AUACGUAGGGUGCAAGCGUUAAUCGGAAUUACUGGGCGUAAAGCGUGCGCAGGCGGUUUUGUAAGACAGUGGUGAAAUCCCCGGGCUCAACCUGGGAACUGCCAUUGUGACUGCAAGGCUGGAGUGCGGCAGAGGGGGAUGGAAUUCCGCGUGUAGCAGUGAAAUGCGUAGAUAUGCGGAGGAACACCGAUGGCGAAGGCAAUCCCCUGGGCCUGCACUGACGCUCAUGCACGAAAGCGUGGGGAGCAAACAGGAUUAGAUGCCCUGGUAGUCCACGCCCUAAACGAUGUCAACUGGUUGUUGGGGAUUUAUUUUCUCAGUAACGAAGCUAACGCGUGAAGUUGACCGCCUGGGGAGUACGGCCGCAAGGUUAAAACUCAAAUGAAUUGACGGGG
rnacentral:rRNA from 1 species